rnacentral:lncRNA from 1 species
CCUGGACAAGAUAAAGCAAGCAGUUUGACACAUACAACAACACAGAGUUACACAUGGAGUAAAACAAACAUACAGUCAAUAAUAUAGUAGAAAAAUAAGUCUAUAUACAAAGUGAGCAAAUGAGGUGAGAUAAGGGAGGUAAAGGCAAAAAAAGCCAUGGUGGCAAAGUAAAUACAAUAUAGCAAGUAAAACACUGGAAUGGUAGAUUUGCAGUGGAAGAAAGUGCAAAGUAGAAAUAGAAAUAAUAGGGUGCAAAUGAGCUAAAUAAAUAAAUACAGUAGGGGAAGUAGUAGUUGUUUGGGCUAAAUUAUAGAUGGGCUAUGUACAGGUGCAGUAAUCUGUGAGCUGCUCUGACAGCUGGUGCUUAAAGCUAGUGAGGGAGAUAAGUGUUUCCAGUUUCAGAGAUUUUUGUAGUUCGUUCCAGUCAUUGGCAGCAGAGAACUGGAAGGAGAGGUGGCCGAAGGAGGAAUUGGCUUUGGGGGUGACCAGAGAGAUAUACCUGCUGGAGCGCGUGCUACAGGUGGGUGCUGCUAUGGUGACCAGCGAGCUGAGAUAAGGGGGGACUUUACCUAGCAGGGUCUUGUAGAUGACCUGGAGCCAGUGGGUUUGGCGACGAGUAUGAAGCGAGGGCCAGCCAACGAGAGCGUACAGGUCGCAGUGGUGUGUAGUAUAUGGGGCUUUGGUGACAAAACGGAUGGCACUGUGAUAGACUGCAUCCAAUUUAUUGAGUAGGGUGUUGGAGGCUAUUUUGUAAAUGACAUCGCCGAAGUCGAGGAUCGGUAGGAUGGCCAGUUUUACGAGGCUGUUGGAUGGAAUGGAUGUGUUGCUGAUGAACACACCUGCAGCAGGAGUUUGAGGCUGAGAGCCUCAUAGGGACGUUCAGAAAUCUAACAGCAGAACAAUUCAGGAGGCUUGGCAACCUGACGUGUCUGUCAGACCCAAAGGACCUGCGGGUGUACAGAAACGCAGAGGCCUUCUCUGUGAUUCAGGACAACAUUAGGACGUGUUGUCCGGGGCCUCAGGAGCCCCAGGGACAUGGUAAGUGGAGCUGUCACAGACAGACACAGACUGACGCUGUUAUUCCUUACCAUAGAACUACUUUAUUUUUCACCGCAAAAUUCAAGGUGAAACUCAUAUGUGUAUGAGUGAACUAGAUUAAUCUAUGGGUUGAAUGUCUUGUGUUUGCACUUUGUGUGAUUCCUGUGUAAAUAUAUGUGUGUGUUACGCUUGUGACCAUCCCUCUUCAGAUCUCCAGCUUGUUCCUGAAUGGGAUUGAGCUUCAGUCUACUGGCUCUCUCUCAGCUGCCUCCCUUCUUGCCCUGGCUGGGUGUGGACUUCCUACAGAAGCUCAGCCCUGUGCUGACAGCCCUGGCCUCUGUACCCUUCACUCCUGCACAGGCCAGUGUAAUUGUGGACAAAGUGUCUCUAAACAACAGUCUGGCUCUGCCGGGGCAGCUGCAGAAGCUGGGCUCCCUGGUGAGUGGGGUGAAGGUUGAGACUCUGUGGAGCUUGCCCUCUGACAUCCUGUUGUCCUCGCUGCCUGACAUCGCCCUGCACACCCCCGGCUUCAACCCCCCACAGGCCAACACCAUCACCACCAAACUCUGGGUACGGCCUUAGAGGGACACACCAACACUGACCCCCAUCCUCACAAACAGCGACAUGCUCACUCAUACUAAAUGAAGACAAUCGACAAGGUACACAGUAACGUGGCUUCAGCCGUACGCUGCUACUCUUGGCUCAGUGGGAGGUAUGUUUACAAGGCUCUAUCAGUAUGCAUGCAUGACCAUAACCAAUGGAGAGUGAACAGAGAGGAGGAGAGAAAGGUGGAGUGUGGAGGGGGACCACAGCUGGCAUGCCCAGGUGUACCCAGGAUCCUUGCCCUGCCUGGCAGUCAGAUGGGGGUGAUGUGGCCCUGUCCCAGCUGGAGCUGUAUGCUCCAUAAGGACCAGAGCCAGGUAUAGACUGACACACUGUGCAGGCUCAGCAUUGGGCUGUUUCUUAGAGAGGAGGUGCCAACUAUGUAUGAAUGAGGUCACUCUGAGACGUUUGUAAUUACCCCUCUUUUGUUUGCCCGAGUUAUCUUUUUAUGGGUUGUGAACAUGUAUUUACAUUCCACCAACAUAUUGUGUGUACCGCUAGUGUUUGUCAGAAGCCUAUUUAGUCACCAUUGAAAUCCACUUUAUAUCUACGUGUUUACCUUUCAAUUGGUGUCGUUUAGUCACUAUACUCUGUCUGUGUUGUGUUGACCUUUGUCCAGGACUCACCAGAGGUGACUGGCUGGUUGGAUAAGGUGGAGCCCCUGCUCCACAGCACCCCUCUACUCAGUGUGCUGACCAGGGCUAGUCUGCUGUUGACCAACAGGACCUUGGCAGGAAGACGAGCCUGGAACACUCAGCAGGUAACGUCUAUGACCUGACUCCUGUCCUCUCUGCUCCAGCAAUACCUGUGACCUGCAAGUCGUUUUCAAGGGGAUACAAUUCAUGCAUAUCAGUAUAGGAACAUCUAUCUAUCCCUAAAUACUUAGUGAUUUU